GGAGAAUUGGCUGAGUGGCCGAAAGCGCUGGUCUUGAAAACCAGAGGACGUGAAAGCGUCCCGUGGGUUCGAAUCCCACAUUCUCCU
rnacentral:tRNA from 1 species